ACGUACACUCCUACGGGAGGCAGCAGUGGGGAAUUUUGGACAAUGGGCGAAAGCCUGAUCCAGCAAUGCCGCGUGUGUGAAGAAGGCCUUCGGGUUGUAAAGCACUUUUGUCCGGAAAGAAAUCCUUGGCUCUAAUACAGUCGGGGGAUGACGGUACCGGAAGAAUAAGCACCGGCUAACUACGUGCCAGCAGCCGCGGUAAUACGUAGGGUGCGAGCGUUAAUCGGAAUUACUGGGCGUAAAGCGUGCGCAGGCGGUUUGCUAAGACCGAUGUGAAAUCCCCGGGCUCAACCUGGGAACUGCAUUGGUGACUGGCAGGCUAGAGUAUGGCAGAGGGGGGUAGAAUUCCACGUGUAGCAGUGAAAUGCGUAGAGAUGUGGAGGAAUACCGAUGGCGAAGGCAGCCCCCUGGGCCAAUACUGACGCUCAUGCACGAAAGCGUGGGGAGCAAACAGGAUUAGAUACCCCUGGUAGUCCCAUGAU
rnacentral:rRNA from 1 species